GGCCUGAGGUACUACCUGAUGUCACAGUAGUUUUGGAACAGGCUUUGUUGGAGACACCUUAGCUCUGUUUGGUGUCCUUUUGUCUGUUGUGGAUCUUCUGGCUGCAGAAGGAACAUGGAAAUUGGAAGGUCCAAUUCCAAGAAGACCACCCCAUUCCAUUUAUUUGUAGAUGGAUGGAGUUCAUGAGGAGGAACCCACAUGAUAAGGCUUGCAGAUAAAUCCCAUAGUUUUGUAUUGCCCUUGGGAUAAAUUCUGUAAAUAUGACAAGCCUUUUGGUUGCUGAUACUGAAAGGGGUCUAGGAGACAGCAGCUCCGUGCUACUGGAGGGGCUGCAAUGCCCAGGUCUCCAAAAAGGUGUUGGCCAUGCAGUAGCAGCUUGAGGCUGCACCUGAAGGCAGGGGAGUGGGGAGCAACAGCCGACGUCAUGGUGGAAGGACUCGGACGACGUGGGCUGGGAGGCUGCGGGUCCCUGUCACCUUCCUCUGCCAUCAGACACUGCGUACAGGAAAGGGUGGACCCUCAUUACCCGAGGGAUUGCAAGGAAGCUUCUGUUUUCACUUCCUAAGUCAAGAUGAUGUUAAUAAUGUCACAUUCCUCCAGCACUUAUCUGUGUGCAUGUCAGUAAAUAUUAAACCUGGCGAGGAAUGAAUGACCUUCCUCCUCCUCCUUGCUCAGCUCCCUUCGGAGCACAGCGCUGGUGGUACACUGGGCUCAGGUCCAUGUCCUCUCCUGCCCUCUCCUACCCUGUGGGAGGACCAGGGGGCCAAGGUGGGGGGUACACAAGAAAAUACUGAUGCAGGAUUGAGUUUUUUUCCUUAGGCUGGGUCAGGGUGCUUUUACAGAGACUCUACAUUAUCUGCGAGGCAGGCCAGGAUGGAGGGUGGUGCACAAGGCAAGCAAAGGCAUCUUACAUCUCCUCGGUCGCUUGCUCCGGAGCUCGCAUUCUUGUGCCUUCCUUCAGUCUGCUGCAGAAAUCCUCAUCUAUUUGGACUCCAGGGUAAGGAGAGGCGCCUGGAGGCAACAUUGAGAGAAUAGAUACAUGCCUUGAGUUGGGUACUUGUGACCUAGCUGUAACCCUUAUGCAUCUCCCUCAAACACUUGGGAUGUGCAGCACCAGGUUGCAGAGCUGGGGAUCAGAGGAUGUCCCCUCCACUGCAGGGUCUGGUCCUGCCAGCUGCCACAGACAGGGAACCACUGCUGGUGGUGCUCCAAGCCCCAGUCCUUGGAGGGGGACAAGAUCAAACCCAUAACUAUUUGCGGUGCUUACCUGGCCCGAAUGGAAAAAAUACGCAUGAAUUUGACUUGAGCAGUAUCCCUUGAAAAGCCAAGUCUAAUCUUUCUAUUGAUUUGGACUACUCCAAAUUCUAGUAAGCAGAGUAUUAACAAACCCCAAAUGCUCAAAAUCACCUUGAAAAAAAAUUGAAAUCUUUAUUUUAAAUCAGAUCACAGUACAUUUGCAUUGUUUUUCUAGUUUCUCUGGUUUUAAGAUGCAGCCUGAUUGUGCUGUUGUUUUUUUAUCUGUGGAC